GGCUCAGAUGAACGCUGGCGGCAUGCUUUACACAUGCAAGUCGAACGGCAGCGCGGGGCAACCUGGCGGCGAGUGGCGAACGGGUGAGUAAUAUAUCGGAACGUACCCAAGAGUGGGGGAUAACGUAGCGAAAGUUACGCUAAUACCGCAUACGAUCUAAGGAUGAAAGCAGGGGAUCUUCGGACCUUGUGCUCCUGGAGCGGCCGAUAUCUGAUUAGCUAGUUGGUGAGGUAAAGGCUCACCAAGGCUACGAUCAGUAGCUGGUCUGAGAGGACGACCAGCCACACUGGAACUGAGACACGGUCCAGACUCCUACGGGAGGCAGCAGUGGGGAAUUUUGGACAAUGGGCGAAAGCCUGAUCCAGCAAUGCCGCGUGAGUGAAGAAGGCCUUCGGGUUGUAAAGCUCUUUUGUCAGGGAAGAAACGGUGAGGGCUAAUAUCCCUCGCUAAUGACGGUACCUGAAGAAUAAGCACCGGCUAACUACGUGCCAGCAGCCGCGGUAAUACGUAGGGUGCAAGCGUUAAUCGGAAUUACUGGGCGUAAAGCGUGCGCAGGCGGUUUUGUAAGUCUGACGUGAAAUCCCCGGGCUCAACCUGGGAAUUGCGUUGGAGACUGCAAGGCUAGAAUCUGGCAGAGGGGGGUAGAAUUCCACGUGUAGCAGUGAAAUGCGUAGAGAUGUGGAGGAACACCGAUGGCGAAGGCAGCCCCCUGGGUCAAGAUUGACGCUCAUGCACGAAAGCGUGGGGAGCAAAC
rnacentral:rRNA from 1 species